GAUGAACGCUGGCGGCGUGCCUAAUACAUGCAAGUCGAGCGAACAGACGAGGAGCUUGCUCCUCUGAUGUUAGCGGCGGACGGGUGAGUAACACGUGGAUAACCUACCUAUAAGACUGGGAUAACUUCGGGAAACCGGAGCUAAUACCGGAUAACAUGUUGAACCGCAUGGUUCAACAGUGAAAGACGGUCUUGCUGUCACUUAUAGAUGGAUCCGCGCCGCAUUAGCUAGUUGGUAAGGUAACGGCUUACCAAGGCAACGAUGCGUAGCCGACCUGAGAGGGUGAUCGGCCACACUGGAACUGAGACACGGUCCAGACUACUACGGGAGGCAGAAGUGGGGAAUCUUCGACAAUGGGCGAAAGCCUGACGGAGCAAGCCCGCGUGAGUGAAGAAGGUCUUCGGAUCGUAAACCUCUUUUAUUGGGAAAGAAAAGUUGUGUAAUAAAACAUGCCCGUUUUGACGGUACCUAAACAAAAAGCCCCGGCUAACUCCGUG
rnacentral:rRNA from 1 species